CCUGUCCAGCAUGCCGCCCUAUGGCUAUGCCUACGGCCAGUGCAAGAAAUUUGAUUUCGCAAUCAAUCGCACAUGUGUGUUGUUUGUACACAAAGCUGACGCUGAGCACGUGUGUAAUUCUACCACACAUCUCGAACUACACAUUUGCAAUGUGAACUUAAUUUAAACGAAGAAGAAUUUCCGAUGGCGACGAAGCGCGACAGGUUUUCAAAGCUCUCUAUUUUACAGAAGAGGAAAAUGCUGCAACAAAUGAAGAGGCCACCAGUCUACUACGAGCCGGAGUACGGCUCCAGGCCAGGCCCAGUCUGAUUAUCAUGGUUAUUGAGUCGAGUUUUGGCGAUUUGACAUCAGCUACGGGUUCGAAGAUUGCAGCAAGCAACGACGUUGUGUUCGAGCAGAUCCCGUUGGUGCAGAGAGAGGUGGAACUUGAAGUGUUCAGUGAAAGCAGUGUUGUUCAAAGAGAGAAAGUACAUCCAUGUACACUACAACAUGAACCCCAUGCAAGUGAAGUUGAGAUUCAAGCAGAUCAACCCUGAGGAAGAAAACGUCAGAUGGUAUGUUUUGCUGACAUAGAGACAGAGUCUGACUCCUCUCAUUGCUCUGAAGCUGUAUCAUGUACGUGUAGAAGGAACUUCAGCAAAAAGCGAAAUGCAGCCUGUCUGGAAUUAGCGGCAAUACUGAGAAUGAAAUGCUGCAGAAGUUAUUGUCUUCAUAAGAUAUAAAGAAUAGAUGCAAGGCCCGCAGAGGAUUUCAGAACAAGACUCUAGCAGAUCAGAGGCUAUGGAUUUUGCAGUACCUUAUUGAACAUCACAACUUUGUAAACAUGGAUGGAGACUCAUCCUUGGGAUUACUAUGACCCGCUUAUGGAAGAUGGAGUCAGGGUUAGCAGAAGGAUUGGUGACAUCUCGUCCAUCAAAUCACCAUCGUAAAGGACUUUGUUCUUUGUCUGUGAUGAUGUCAAUGGUGUGGCUUAGUGAAUUUGUCGAUAAGUUUGGAGAGAAACUGCCAACCAACAACAAAAUCCAUCUUCUUCAUGCCUUAUACAUGGAAAUGUGUAUCGGAUUAUGAAGGAGGAAGUGGAAGAGCAUGGAGGUUCUGUUUGUAGUCAGCAAUACUUCUUCCGCAAAUGGAGAAUGGAUAUGUCUCAUGUUACCAUUCCAAAGGUGAACCGGUUUUUGAAAUGCGACAUAUGCACCAAACUGAAAUCUUGCCUAGAGAAGACAACUGGCAGAGAAGAGAGACAAACUUUACUGCAAGAAAGAGAGUCACACCUUUUCCAGCAAAAGUCCAUCUAGGUACUAAGCAGAAAAGGCCUCAACAUCCAUUAUUAAAACUGGGAGAUACGGUUGCAGUCUACUUAGAAGAGUUCAGUAAUGAGUGGCCACGAGUGAGCAAAGUGUUAGAAAUGACUGGAGACAGUGUGAAGCUGCAUUAGUACUCAGGAUCAGAAACGUCCACGUGGAUAUCGCCUACCACAUCGGUUAGAGGACAGAAGGGUCAGCCGUACACGGGGGAAGUCUCUCUUCAAGAAGUCAUUUCUUUCCCCUACAGUCUCACUAAAACAAACAAAUUACCAUAGGAUAUCCAGCGUCACGUGAAGAAUACUUUGCAUGUUAGGUCUGUAUGAACAUACACUGUAUUCAUACCAAUUUGGAAUGAGUUUGUUUUGUUUGUCCAGGACUCAAAAGCUGUAUGUCUAUAUGGAAGCCACUUGAAUUAUGUAUUUUUGUGAUAUUACAAUGUACCUAUAUUUUUCCACAUUGGAUAUGGUGAUAAUUUCCAGGGUUUAUCUUCACAUGAGUUUGAUCACCUACAUGUAUCUACAUUUAGAAGAGAUAAAUGCACAAUGAUUGAUAGAGAGUUGGUACCUGAAGUAGGUAAUGAUUUAACCCUAAAUAGACUGGGCUAUUUCUACGCCUAAGAAGACGGGGGGGGG
rnacentral:misc_RNA from 1 species